rnacentral:lncRNA from 1 species
UCGAGUACCUGGUUCUCAACCUCCCGGAUCCCGCGCUUCGGGUCCGCUUCCAGGUGCAACUCGAGUUCCAGGACAAGCGCUCCGUAGUUUUGGAUGUCCAGGUUUUCGACCUGGUGACUUUUGACUUUCAGGACUAAUGUUUCAUAGUUCUGGCUGUCAAGGUCCUCCAUCUGAUGGACCUUGACCUCCAGGAUAAGCGCUCGAUAGAUCUUGCUGUCCAGGUCCUUGACCUAAUGACUUUCGACCUUCCGGACUAAUUUUCAAGUUUACAAGUUUUAUUAUUGAAAACGUCAUGUUUUGUACUAUCAAACCAAUAUGCAUGCUUCAGAUAACAUUCUGAAUCAGUCAAAAACCGGAUGACCAGGAUCAAGAAAUUGCAAUUGAUUUGGUUUGCGUCACGUGCACAAAGACAGUGUUCAUUCUGUGUACUGUGAAGCAAAUACCAGAAUUCUUUGGAGAGUCCAUCGUGCCCCAGUCUCCCCUACAACUAUGUCAUCUCGUAAAACACCGACAACGAGUAAGUGAGCGCACAAGUGCAAAAACCAGUUGCAGUAGGUAUCCGACCCCGAUCGAGCUUUAACGAGCGAAUGUUUUAAUACUGGUGAAUAACUAAUCAAUUGUGCGACCUUCCGUGAACAAGAUUAAUUCUACAUUCAAACUCGCGACAUAUCGGCAAGAUUAUUGUGAAAUGGUUUAUAUUUUGAUCACAUACAAUCCUCGGAAUUGAUAAUAUCUUAAUCGGUUCUCGCCAGCGGUGGGACAAAGCAGCGGAUGCAUCUCUUUGCGAAGGGUUAACUCGGGCCGAGUACGUGACAAGAAUGUGACGUGGAACUCGUCGCUGGAAGAACGUAUUUAAUAAAUUACGAAUGCUUGGUAUUAUCUAGUCAAAUACUUUUGGCGAUAUUUAUUAUAUAUGUCGGCGCGAGAAGCCGGCAGCCUCACCGCUUGACGCUCGUAACUGUCGUAGUGCUUUUGUUUUGAUUUAGACCACACGAGUAUUGUUAUUAAGUUCCGAUCUUCGUAAUGUAGCAGGGGUGGGUAAGGUAUCUAACUCGAAUCCUAAAGUUUACCUUGGGGAAGUCGAGAGACGAGAGAGCAGUGAUAGUCAGAGGCUCGAGCGUGAAGGACCGAGAGCGUCUCGAAAUCCCCACACACCUACCCGCUGCUACAUUAGUGUUAGUUUUUUUUGAAGAAGAAUAAAAGAAGAGAGAAAAAUCA